AGAGUUUGAUCCUGGCUCAGGACGAACGCUGGCGGCGUGCCUAAUACAUGCAAGUAGAACGCUGAAGAGAGGAGCUUGCUCUUCUUGGAUGAGUUGCGAACGGGUGAGUAACGCGUAGGUAACCUGCCUUGUAGCGGGGGAUAACUAUUGGAAACGAUAGCUAAUACCGCAUAACAAUGGAUGACACAUGUCAUUUAUUUGAAAGGGGCAAUUGCUCCACUACAAGAUGGACCUGCGUUGUAUUAGCUAGUAGGUGAGGUAAUGGCUCACCUAGGCGACGAUACAUAGCCGACCUGAGAGGGUGAUCGGCCACACUGGGACUGAGACACGGCCCAGACUCCUACGGGAGGCAGCAGUAGGGAAUCUUCGGCAAUGGGGGCAACCCUGACCGAGCAACGCCGCGUGAGUGAAGAAGGUUUUCGGAUCGUAAAGCUCUGUUGUAAGUCAAGAACGGGUGUGAGAGUGGAAAGUUCACACUGUGACGGUAGCUUACCAGAAAGGGACGGCUAACUACGUGCCAGCAGCCGCGGUAAUACGUAGGUCCCGAGCGUUGUCCGGAUUUAUUGGGCGUAAAGCGAGCGCAGGCGGUUUGAUAAGUCUGAAGUUAAAGGCUGUGGCUCAACCAUAGUUCGCUUUGGAAACUGUCAAACUUGAGUGCAGAAGGGGAGAGUGGAAUUCCAUGUGUAGCGGUGAAAUGCGUAGAUAUAUGGAGGAACACCGGUGGCGAAAGCGGCUCUCUGGUCUGUAACUGACGCUGAGGCUCGAAAGCGUGGGGAGCGAACAGGAUUAGAUACCCUGGUAGUCCACGCCGUAAACGAUGAGUGCUAGGUGUCGGAGAGGAAUCCUCGGUGCCGCAGCUAACGCAAUAAGCACUCCACCUGGGGAGUACGACCGCAAGGUUGAAACUCAAAGGAAUUGACGGGGGCCC
rnacentral:rRNA from 1 species